rnacentral:rRNA from 1 species
GAGUUUGAUUAUGGCUCAGGAUGAACGCUGGCGGCGUGCUCAACACAUGCAAGUCGAACGAACCUUCGGGUUAGUGGCGGACGGGUGAGUAACGCGUGAGAAUCUGCCCUCAGGAGGGGGAUAACAGCUGGAAACGGCUGCUAAUACCCCAUAUGCCGCGAGGUGAAAUGAAUUUCGCCUGAGGAUGAGCUCGCGUCUGAUUAGCUAGUUGGUGUGGGUAGUGGCUCACCAAGGCAUCGAUCAGUAGCUGGUCUGAGAGGAUGAUCAGCCACACUGGGACUGAGACACGGCCCAGACUCCUACGGGAGGCAGCAGUGGGGAAUUUUCCGCAAUGGGCGAAAGCCUGACGGAGCAACGCCGCGUGAGGGAUGAAGGCCUCUGGGCUGUAAACCUCUUUUAUCAAGGAAGAAGAUCUGACGGUACUUGAUGAAUAAGCCACGGCUAAUUCCGUGCCAGCAGCCGGCGGUAAAC